UCUUAUUUCAGAAAGCACCAUUGGUAUCUUCGUUUACUUGUCAACAACACAUGUUACACAUUUCUGCGUCCAUAAUAUAAAAGUGAGCUUCUGUUACGAUUCAGGGCUAUAUACUGGAGUCUUAUUUCAGAAAGCACCAAGUUCUUCAUGAUUCAAGCUUCCAAGAUCAUGUACAUGAUGAACUAUCUACGUUUUCAUGCAAAACACUGCCUGGUGAACCACAUCUUCAGUUCCUGCUAUCUGGUUUGGAACGCCACAUUAUCGGCGAAGGCUCUCAUCGGAGUCUGUCUUCAAUGGUUCAGCUCCAAGUCCUCCCG
rnacentral:lncRNA from 1 species